rnacentral:rRNA from 1 species
CAAACGUGGGGGAUAACGUAGGGAAACUUACGCUAAUACCGCAUACGUCCUACGGGAGAAAGCGGGGGACCGAAAGGCCUCGCGCGGUUGGACGAACCGAUGUGCGAUUAGCUAGUUGGUAGGGUAAUGGCCUACCAAGGCGACGAUCGCUAGCUGGUCUGAGAGGAUGAUCAGCCACACUGGAACUGAGACACGGUCCAGACUCCUACGGGAGGCAGCAGUGGGGAAUAUUGGACAAUGGGCGCAAGCCUGAUCCAGCAAUGCCGCGUGUGUGAAGAAGGCCUUCGGGUUGUAAAGCACUUUUAUCAGGAGCGAAAUACUACUGGCUAAUAACCGGUGGGGCUGACGGUACCUGAGGAAUAAGCACCGGCUAACUUCGUGCCAGCAGCCGCGGUAAUACGAAGGGUGCAAGCGUUAAUCGGAAUUACUGGGCGUAAAGCGUGCGUAGGCGGUUAUUUAAGUCUGUUGUGAAAUCCCCGGGCUCAACCUGGGAAUGGCAAUGGAUACUGGAUAGCUAGAGUGUGAUAGAGGAUGGUGGAAUUCCCGGUGUAGCGGUGAAAUGCGUAGAGAUCGGGAGGAACAUCAGUGGCGAAGGCGGCCAUCUGGAUCAACACUGACGCUGA